UGAAUACGAGAUGCUACGGCGUCGAAGCAGUGUAUGUCAGACUUCCAAGAAAAGCUCGCAAUGUCAUAAAUAAAGAAUGCCUGUACCAUAACCGACACAGGUGGGUAGGUAGAGUAUACUAAGGGGCGCGAGAUAACUCUCUCUAAGGAACUCGGCAAAAUAACUCCGUAACUUCGGGAGAAGGAGUGCCUUCUAUUAGAAGGUUGCAAUAACAAGAUCCAAGCAACUGUUUAUCAAAAACACAGGUCUCCGCUAAGUCGUAAGACGAUGUAUGGGGGCUGACGCCUGCCCAGUGCCAGAAGGUUAAAGAAGUUGGUUAGCCUUGGCGAAGCUGAUGACUGAAGCCCUGGUGAACGGCGGCCGUAACAAUAACGGUCCUAAGGUAGCGAAAUUCCUUGUCGGGUAAGUUCCGACCCGCACGAAAGGCGUAAUGAUUUGGAUACUGUCUCGGAGAGGGACUCGGUGAAAUAGACUUGUCUGUGAAGAUGCGGACUACCUGCACCAGGACAGAAAGACCCUAUGAAGCUUUACUGUAACUUGAAAUUGAAAUUGGACUUUAUUUGCGCAGCAUAGGUGGAAGGCGUUGAGAUUACUCUUGCGGGAGUACUGGAGCCAUCAGUGAGAUACCACUCCUAUAAUGUUAGAUUUCUAACUUUGGAUCAUGAUCUGGUCAAAGAACAGUUUCAGGCGGGCAGUUUGACUGGGGCGGUCGCCUCCCAAAUGGUAACGGAGGCGUACAAAGGUUUCCUCUGAACGGGUAGAAAUCGUAUCUAGAGUGUAAAGGCAUAAGGAAGCUUGACUGUGAGACCUACAAGUCGAGCAGGGACGAAAGUCGGUCUUAGUGAUCUGACGGUGCUGAGUGGAAAGGCCGUCACUCAACGGAUAAAAGUUACUCUAGGAUAACAGGCUGAUCUCCCCCAAGAGUUCACAUCGACGGGGAGGUUUGGCACCUCGAUGUCGGCUCAUCGCAUCCUGGGGCGGUAGUACGUCCCAAGGGUUGGGCUGUUCGCCCAUGAAAGCGGUACGCGAGCUGGGUUCAGAACGUCGUGAGACAGUUCGGUCCAUAUCCGGUGUAGGCGUUAGAAUAUUGAGAGGAGCCUUCUUUAGUACGAGAGGACCGAGAAGGACAUUCCUCUGGUGUACCAGUUAUCGUGCCAACGGUAAACGCUGGGUAGCUAUGUAUGGAGAGGAUAACCGCUGAAAGCAUCUAAGUGGGAAGCCCACCUCAAGAUGAGUAUUCUCA
rnacentral:rRNA from 1 species